rnacentral:rRNA from 1 species
GCUAACGGCUGGCGGCGUGUCUUAGCCAUGCAAGUCGAGCGGACUUAUGGGGUAACUUAUAAGUCAGCGGCGGACGGCGGAGUAACACGUAGCUAACCCACCCUCUGGACGGGGAUAACCUACCGAAAGGUGGGCUAAUACCCGAUGUAGUCAUCCUGUAUAGGGGUGAUGAAAGGUGGGCUUCUGUUUACAAGCUCAUGCUGGAGGAGGGGGCUGCGGCCUAUCAGGUAGUUGGUAGGGUAAUAGCCUACCAAGCCGAUGACGGGUAGCCGGCCUGAGAGGGUGACCGGCCCGAGGGGCACUGAGAUACGGGUCCCACUCCUACGGGAGGCAGCAGGCUAGAAAUUUGGGCAAUGGGGGAAACCCUGACCCAGUGACGCCGCGUGCAGGAAGGAGCCCUUCGGGGUGUAAACUGCUGUCGUGUAGGGAGAAGGGUACUAAGGUGAACAAUCUUAGUACUUGACGGUACUACAGGAGGAAGCCCAGGCUAACCUCGUG